rnacentral:rRNA from 1 species
GAUGAACGCUGGCGGCGUGCCUAAUACAUGCAAGUCGAGCGAACCGACGAGGAGCUUGCUCCUCUGACGUUAGCGGCGGACGGGUGAGUAACACGUGGAUAACCUACCUAUAAGACUGGGAUAACUUCGGGAAACCGGAGCUAAUACCGGAUAAUAUAUUGAACCGCAUGGUUCAAUAGUGAAAGACGGUUUUGCUGUCACUUAUAGAUGGAUCCGCGCCGCAUUAGCUAGUUGGUAAGGUAACGGCUUACCAAGGCAACGAUGCGUAGCCGACCUGAGAGGGUGAUCGGCCACACUGGAACUGAGACACGGUCCAGACUCCUACGGGAGGCAGCAGUAGGGAAUCUUCCGCAAUGGGCGAAAGCUUGACGGAGCAACGCCGCGUGAGUGAUGAAGGUCUUCGGAUCGUAAAACUCUGUUAUUAGGGAAGAACAAAUGUGUAAGUAACUAUGCACGUCUUGACGGUACCUAAUCAGAAAGCCACGGCUAACUACGUG